CGUGUUCCUGCAUUGGGUGAAGGAACGGCAUCGCAGAGUCGAGCUUACUCGCGGCAAUGCGGUGGAAGUGGCAUACCUGUUGCUCGCAAGCCUCUACGCCGUUGUCAUCCUGCUCAAGGGCCGCAUCGCGCUCGUCGAUCUUGCGGUCCUAGUCGGGAUCUACGCAGCAUACGUCUGGCGCGUGCGUCACGUGGUGAAACCUGACGGUCCCGACGAAGAUGAGGAGCCCGGACCGGCCGCGGCGCUGCAACAGCUUCCAUUGCGUGUUCA
rnacentral:misc_RNA from 1 species